rnacentral:ncRNA from 1 species
AUGGUCCUCGGUAGUGGCCUCCGGACCCCUGGGUCCGUGGGCCUCGAUCGAUGACCG